rnacentral:lncRNA from 1 species
UAUAGUGGAAGGGGGAUGUACAUAGUUUGGAGUCAAAAAAGGAGGAAAAGGAAAGAAGGAAGAAAUUGAAUCUAAAGAAUAAAAGAAUGAAAAAAUGUUCCUUCUGGACAUAUUUACAGGAGUUAAGGGCUCCAUAGCUAGCCCGUAACAGCUAGCAGAAGGAUGAGAAAUGGAUGGAGCACCAAGCGAUGGAAAAUAGGAUCUCAACCACAGUUGAGUGAACCAAAGAGGUCCACUGCCAGUGGGAGAUGCACCAUUCUUCAAUUGAG